rnacentral:rRNA from 1 species
UACGUAGGGCGCAAGCGUUGUCCGGAAUUAUUGGGCGUAAAGAGCUUGUAGGUGGCUUGUCGCGUCUGCCGUGAAAACCCGAGGCUUAACCUUGGGCGUGCGGUGGGUACGGGCAGGCUAGAGUGCGGUAGGGGAGACUGGAAUUCCUGGUGUAGCGGUGAAAUGCGCAGAUAUCAGGAGGAACACCGAUGGCGAAGGCAGGUCUCUGGGCCGUUACUGACACUGAGAAGCGAAAGCAUGGGGAGCGAACAGGAUUAGAUACCCGUGUAGUCC